rnacentral:rRNA from 1 species
UGUGCCAGCAGCCGCGGUAAUUCCAGCUCUAAUAGCAUACGUUAAAGUUGUUGCGGUUAAAACGCUCGUAGUCGGCUUCAGACCAUCAGAAGCCUGGCUCGUGAGCCCGGGUCCGCUGCCCCUUCCGGGGCGCGCUGGGUGAACGGCUGGGUGGGCGUUGGUCAAGUGUGCCUCUUGCUGUCCUUCGGGUCACAGGGGCCGGGCUUGCUCGGUCUCGGCGGGGGGUACCACUUACCAUGACUAAACUGGACUGAUCAAGUGAGGCCGUUCGGUCUUGCACAGCACAGCAUGGCAUAAAGAUAACUGGCUCCGGGAGUAGCGCCCUGGGGUUGGUAAAAGCGAAAGGGGUGUUCGAGGGUGACCGAAUUGCUAGGCGAGUGGUGAAAUACGUUGACCCCAGCAAGUCGACCAAAGGCGAAAGCAGUCAUCAAGGGCACGCCCGUUGAUCAAGAGCGAAAGUUAAGGGUUCGAAGACGAUCAGAUACCGUCGUAGUCUUAACUAUAAAUGAUACUGACCAGGGAUAGGACACUGUCCAUCUCGACUCCUUCUGAACCUUAGAGAAAUUACAGUCUUUGAGUUCUGGGGGGAGUAUGGUCGCAAGGCUGAAACUUAAAGGAAUUGACGGAAGGGCACACAAAGAGUGGAACCUGCGGCUUAAUUUGACUCAACACGGGGAAAACUCACCAGGUCCAGAUACACGUAUGAAAGACAAGCUGAAGACUUUUCUCAUGAUGUAAGUGGUGGUGCAUGGUCGUUCUUAGUUCGUGGAUUGAUGUGUCUGGUCUAUUCCGAUACGAGCGAGACCCCGGCGUUCCUAUAGGGGCGCAGCCCUGCUCGCCUGCUUCG